rnacentral:rRNA from 1 species
AGUGAACGCUGGCGGUAGGCCUAACACAUGCAAGUCGAACGGCAGCACAGAAAGAGCUUGCUCUUACGGGUGGCGAGUGGCGGACGGGUGAGGAAUACAUCGGAAUCUACUUUUUCGUGGGGGAUAACGUAGGGAAACUUACGCUAAUACCGCAUCCGACCUACGGGUGAAAGCAGGGGAUCUUCGGACCUUGCGCGAUUGAAUGAGCCGAUGUCGGAUUAGCUAGUUGGCGGGGUAAAGGCCCACCAAGGCGACGAUCCGUAGCUGGUCUGAGAGGAUGAUCAGCCACACUGGAACUGAGACACGGUCCAGACUCCUACGGGAGGCAGCAGUGGGGAAUAUUGGACAAUGGGCGCAAGCCUGAUCCAGCCAUGCCGCGUGGGUGAAGAAGGCCUUCGGGUUGUAAAGCCCUUUUGGUGGGAAAGAAGAGCAGCAAGUUAAUACCCCGCUGUUCUGACGUUACCCAAAGAAUAAGCACCGGCUAACUUCGUG